rnacentral:rRNA from 1 species
UAGGUAGGAUGCAAGCGUUGUCCGGAUUUAUUGGGUUUAAAGGGUGCGUAGGCGGCCUAUUAAGUUAGUGGUGAAAACGUUCGGCUUAACCGGAUACCCGCCAUUGAUACUGAUAGACUUGAGUGCGACAGAGGGUGUUGGGAUGUGUGGUGUAGCGGUGAAAUGCUUAGAUAUCACGCAGAACACCAAUUGCGAAGGCAGAUGCCUAUGUCGUAACUGACGCUGAGGCACGACAGGGUGGGGAGCAAACAGG